rnacentral:rRNA from 1 species
GACGUAGGGAGCAAGCGUUGUCCGGAAUUAUUGGGCGUAAAGAGCUUGUAGGCGGUUUGUCGCGUCUGCUGUGAAAAUCCGGGGCUCAACCCCGGACUUGCAGUGGGUACGGGCAGACUAGAGUGUGGUAGGGGAGACUGGAAUUCCUGGUGUAGCGGUGGAAUGCGCAGAUAUCAGGAGGAACACCGGUGGCGAAGGCGGGACUCUGGGCCGAUACUGACGCUGAGGAGCGAAAGCGUGGGGAGCGAACAGG